rnacentral:tRNA from 1 species
UGCGGGUUGGUGUAAUUGGUAAACAUGUUUGGCUCAUGUCCAAAAUAUAAGGGUUCAAAUCCUUUAUCCGCAC